rnacentral:rRNA from 1 species
UAUUCGAGUUUGAUCCUGGCUCAGGACGAACGCUGGCGGCGUGCUUAACACAUGCAAGUCGAACGAUGAAGCCCUUCGGGGUGGAUUAGUGGCGAACGGGUGAGUAACACGUGGGCAAUCUGCCCUUCACUCUGGGACAAGCCCUGGAAACGGGGUCUAAUACCGGAUAUGAGCCGGAACCGCAUGGUUCUGGUUGUAAAGCUCCGGCGGUGAAGGAUGAGCCCGCGGCCUAUCAGCUUGUUGGUGAGGUAAUGGCUCACCAAGGCGACGACGGGUAGCCGGCCUGAGAGGGCGACCGGCCACACUGGGACUGAGACACGGCCCAGACUCCUACGGGAGGCAGCAGUGGGGAAUAUUGCACAAUGGGCGAAAGCCUGAUGCACCGACGCCGCAUGAGGGAUGACGGCCUUCGGGUUGUAACCCUCUUUGA